rnacentral:rRNA from 1 species
UACGUAGGUGGCAAGCGUUGUCCGGAUUUAUUGGGUUUAAAGGGUGCGUAGGUGGUCUAUUAAGUCAGUGCUGAAAUAUCCCGGCUUAACCGGGAGGGUGGCAUUGAUACUGAUGGACUUGAGUGGAGUUGAGGUAGGCGGAAUUGACGGUGUAGCGGUGAAAUGCUUAGAUAUGACACAGAACACCGAUUGCGAAGGCAGCUCACUAAGCCAUAACUGACGCUGAUGCACGAAAGCGUGGGGAGCAAACAGG